rnacentral:lncRNA from 1 species
UGCUUCUUAUAAAGAUUAUUAGACAUAAGAUUUAUUUCAGAACCAUGGUCGAUUAAAGCAACAAUUGGUUCUUCUAUAUCUCCUAAUUUCACCAAUACCUCAGUAGUUGCCCUUAUCCAAUGCUUUCGAAUAUAAUGGCUUAAAGUUUCCAAUUCCUUAUCACUAUAAUCUUCAAAACAUACUCGUUGAUUAUACCUAUUCUUUUCAUUUGUUGGUUACUUGUAACCAAUAUCAAUCUCUUCUUCAUCUUUAUAUAUUCUUGCAUCAAUAGCAUGACUCAUUCCAGUUUCGCCCAUUAAUUGCCUCUUUCGCUUAAUGCUAUCAAUGAUAACAUCAUGAAACUCCUUCUUUGCAAUUUCAAAGACUUCUUUCAAUGUGAAUUCCACCUUAGCAUUUAAUAUACGUUCUUGCAACACCCCUUUCAAAUUUGUUGCCGCUUCA